GACAGAGGGUGCAAACGUUGUUCGGAAUUACUGGGCGUAAAGCGCGUGUAGGCGGCUAUGCAAGUCGGAUGUGAAAGCCCUCGGCUCAACCGGGGAAGUGCACCCGAAACUGCAAAGCUAGAGUCUCGGAGAGGAUCGUGGAAUUCUCGGUGUAGAGGUGAAAUUCGUAGAUAUCGGGAGGAACACCAGUGGCGAAGGCGACUACCUGGCCUGUUUCUUGACGCUGAGGCGCGAAAGCUAGGGGAGCAAACGGG
rnacentral:rRNA from 1 species